GAUGAACGCUGGCGGCGUGCCUAAUACAUGCAAGUCGAGCGAAUGGAUUAAGAGCUUGCUCUUAUGAAGUUAGCGGCGGACGGGUGAGUAACACGUGGGUAACCUGCCCAUAAGACUGGGAUAACUCCGGGAAACCGGGGCUAAUACCGGAUAACAUUUUGAACCGCAUGGUUCGAAAUUGAAAGGCGGCUUCGGCUGUCACUUAUGGAUGGACCCGCGUCGCAUUAGCUAGUUGGUGAGGUAACGGCUCACCAAGGCAACGAUGCGUAGCCGACCUGAGAGGGUGCUCGGCCACACUAGGACUGAGACACGGCCCAGACUCCGACGGGAGGCAGCAGUAGUGAAUCUUCCGCAAUGGACGAAAGUCUGACGGAGCAACGCCGCGUGAGUGAUGAAGGCUUUCGGGUCGUAAAACUCUGUUGUUAGGGAAGAACAAGUGCUAGUUGAAUAAGCUGACACCUUGACGGUACCUAACCAGAAAGCCACGGCUAACUACGUGCCAGCCGCCGCGGUAA
rnacentral:rRNA from 1 species